ensembl:lncRNA
UAGAGAGAGACCUUGAUGGGUUGUCAUGAACUCUCAGAUGGAGCCCUACCCUGGCACGCAGCCACCACGGGAUAUUGGAUGAGCCACUCCACCUGCUUUCUUCUGAGGUCUCCAUGUCUGCAAUGUAGCUGCACCUGGAACUUGGAUUUCCAGUCUCUGGAGUGAAUGGAAUGAGAGAGGAAAGGGUGGCGAGAGCAGAAUCUUCCAGGCAGGGAAGGAAGUACUGGCCUGUGAUAUCUCACCACACUGGACAACUACAUGGAAGAGAUUUAUGUAUGUGUGUGUGAGGAGAGGAGGACCAAAGGGAAAAGUCACCCUUGCUGAAGGUCAAGCUGGACUGAAGGAAUUUCCCUUUGGGCUGAGGUGACUCCAUGACUCACUUAUGUGACUGUAUCAUUUGCCCUUGGUCUGAUAAUCCAUGUUGGUUUUCCUUUCCUGUUGGUAAACAUUAGCUUGAUCAUCACCUGAGUUUCUUAGAAGUGAGGAGGCUUCAGCCUCCAAGGCUUUUCUCUAGAUGUUUCCUGCUUCCUUAAACCUCCAGCGGUGGAAGCAUAUACCAUGACCUCGGAGGUCACAGCUGGCCUUCAAGUCACACCUGUGACUUUAAGGCUUGCAGUUGCAACUGUUAUAUGGAAUUCUAUGCCACGGAGACAAUGCAUUUUGCAUAUUUAUUCAUCUAGUGAUGCUCCUGGUCUUCGAGUGUGUAACUAUACUUAGCAUUCAGCUGUCCACAACUCGGAAGACAAACCUGAAUACACCUUUGCCCUGAACUUGGACUUCCAGCCUCUAGAGUUGUGGCCUAGAACCCACCAAGUAAGUGGGCCAAUGAGCAUCAGCACCUACCUGUUUCCACCUCCCCAGUGAUAGGAUUACAAAUGUGCCACCAUACCCAGCCCUUUAGGAACAUGGGUUCUGGAAAUGGAACGCAGAACCUCGUGCUUUUAAGGAAUCUACCGAUGCAGCUCAUCCCUUCAGGCCCAGCUUAAACACCACUGUAUCCAUUUGCCAAGAAAUCACCACAUGUGGAUAUGAUGAAGUUUCUCCAAGUUGUUUGAAAUCUUAGACCUUUAAUGUCAUGUGACAGUCCCAUGAAGGUUUUUAUAAAGGAUCAGCCGCUUUUCCAUCUUCUUUAGACCAUAAAUUGAUGCCUUCAUUCAAGAACAGAAUAUUCUAGAUUUGGGUGAUUCACAACAAAAAAGAGUAAGCCUUGAAUGCCAAAAUACCUGAUUUCUUUCACACCAUGCCGCUUUCUUGAGAAAGAGAGGAUUUGGUCUUUUACUAUAGAGGUACUGUCAAUCAUGGCCAAUGAAAUCGCUUUAAAGUUGUUCAUCAUGUGCCUGCUCUCCCCGCAGGAAUUCACACAAAUGGAAGAGGGCUGUGAUUUUGUCCUUCUGUAUUGCUUGACUGAAGAAUCUUUGUUAAUAGGCAAGCCCGCUCUGAACAGCAGAGGGCACUUAUGUACACAAUACGGAAGGUUGCCUGCUUUUGACAAGCAACUGAGCAGGUGUGUGGGCUCCAUGCCAUCACCCGUGAGCCCUGGCAGGGAUGAAUUUGAUGGGUGUAAUCACUGUUCUCAAGAACGCUGUCAUUCAUGCCUUUUAAUGUUUAAAACCCGGCUUCUCAAACUGCGGCUUAGGGAGCCGUAUGGGACCAGGUAACUCAGUGUGAGGGUUGUUAAAAAAACAUCUGGCAAUUAAUUCAAAAUUAAACACACAAUGAGUCUGAGG